rnacentral:rRNA from 1 species
AUUGAACGCUGGCGGCAGGCCUACCACAUGAAAGUCGAACGAGUGGCGGACGGGUGAGUAAUGUCUGGGAAACUGCCCGAUGGCGGGGGAUACUACUGUAAACGGUAGCUAAUACCGCAUACCAUCGGAUGUGACCAGAUGGGAUGAGCUAGUAGGUGGGGUAACGGCUCACCUAGGCGACUAUCCCUAGCUGGUCUGAGAGGAUGACCAGCCACAAGGGAACUGGGACACGGUCCAGACUCCUACGGGAGGCAGCAGUGGGGAAUAUUGCACAAUGGGCGCAAGCCUGAUGCAGCCAUGCCGCUUGUAUGAAGAAGGCCUUCGGGUUGUAAAGUACGUUCAGCGCGGAGGUGUUACUCGCAGAAGAAGCACCGGAUAACUCCGUGCAAGCCGCAGCGGUAAGAA